UGUUCCUCUAUUCUUUUCCCUAGUUCACUUAGCACUUUUAUUACUAAUGCUUUGAAUUCAUAAUGCUUUGAAUUCAUUAUCUGGUAAAUUAUUCAUUUCUGUUUCACUAAUUUUUUUCAGGGGUUUUGUCUUAUUCUUUCACUUGAAAUUUUUUUGUGUGUUUUCUCAUUUUUGCUUAACUUUCUCUGUUUCUAUUAAAUUAGGCAAAACAAUUGGGUAUCCAAGUCUUGAAUGGGUGUCCUUUUUGGGAACAUCCCUAUACAGUCUGUGUGUUCCCAGAGGGAAAAUGGAUCUGACAUGAGCACAGGUCACAUCUUCUCCCAGGAUGUGCUGGCAGCUAUCACCUUGGUGGGAGGUGGGGCUGGAGAGGGAAAUAUUAGAGCCAGAGCCAGGUGUGAUCCAGGGCUUCCUCUCUUCUCAGGGGCCAACACCAUCCUAUUGGUGGCAGGGGAAGGUCCCACAUUGCUGGUACAGAAAGUCCUAAGUGUUGGGUCUGAUAUGGCUCCAUUCAUUCUAAGUGUGUUCUCUCCUCCUCCAAGCACUGGCAUCCUCACCCCAGAGAGGAGCAGUGCUAGAGCAAAAGAAGCUGGACUGGGCACUUGGAAUGAGUCAGAGAGUGGGUUGUGGUAGUCCUGGCACCAGUCAGAGUUAUCUGCUGCCUUUGUAGGCACCAGCAAUACCUCCUGCAUCUGGAUCAGAGUCACUGCAGGGUCCAAGCAAGCUUUGUCCCUCACAACUGUUUACUGCUCUUUGCUGUGGCAGCCGUUGUCCCAGUGUGGAGCUGUACCACAGAGCAACUGAGGCCAGAGAAAGCACUUUGUUUAGACUGGGGCCUCUGCUGGAGUGGUCAUGGUAAACCAGCCAGAGUCCUGGGCAGCUUCAGUCUGCUUCCUUUGCAUUGUUUCAGGAGUAUGCAAACCUGUGCACUCUUCAUGAGCAGAGUCCAGGUUUCUUACAGACCCAGUGUCUGCCUUGCUGGUUUUCAAACCAGCUAACUCAUCCUCCUGGUGUUGGACCCCAGGCCUGGACACCCUAUUGCGGAUUGAAUUACUUCCUCCCCAGCAAGCAUCUCUGGGCCUAGGAAUUCUCCUCUUCUUCUGUGUCCUCUCCCAAGGGUGCAGGUCCCAACCUGGUCACUUCUUUUCCCUUCCUACCCAUUUCUCUGUGCAUCUUUCACACAACCUUGGUUGUGUAAGAGUCUUUCUGUCCAUCUCCAGUUUGUUUUCAGUGAGAAUAGAUCCACAUAUAGAUACAUUUUUGAUGUGUUCAUGGGGGAGAUAAGGUCUGCAUCCUCUUACUCUGCCAUCUUAAUCUCCCUCAAAAAUGAGAGCACUAAGACACAUAUUUCAAGGUUGGUUGAUUUGUGGCCCAACGAAGUUAUCAGGCACCUUAAUAGUUUGCAUUUUUCUGCUCUGCUGCUUCAGCACUAACAUCAGCCUAAGUGCGGUGAUUCAUCUUGACCUAAGUUUGUUGGUAACCUCAUCAGAUCAGUAGCAACUGUGUGACAUGCUGUGUUUUUUAGAGCCAUAAGGUGAAAAAGACUGUCUGGUUUUAUACAAAAGUACCAGGUAAACUUCUGGCAGCUUGCUGUUUAAAUCUGGCUUAGUCCUGACCAUUCUUGAGCCAAUAGCUGAAGAUGUAUAGGGAUGGAUUACCAAAACUGUCUUGGAUGGAUCAUCUGGGGCAGAGGAGUUUGGGAGAGCCAACCAGAAUGCCCUUUUCUCUGAGCUGAGUACUCCCAAUGUAGGUCUUUUGGUCACCUUGGCACUUAGGUUUGUAUUAAUUCUACUGAGAUUUCCUCUACCUUGACAAAGAAUCUGUUUUAUUCCCCAAUAGCUUAGGAAUCUUAAUUCCUUUUAUCUUUCUACUAAUAAACCCAUUGCCAGGUCUGAAACAACAGUCAGUUUUAUGCAACUCACCAUCAUACUCAGACCCCUUCCAUUGGGGGAAUGUGGUUCCAUCAUAAGAGGAGGGGCCAUGGGGGUUGAGACAAGUUCAUCUUCAUCGUCUGAACUUUUAUAGAGUGCCAAAGGUACAGAUGAAUAGAAGUUGAGACAGUUAACAUUGAGUGUCUACCAAUUACAAGCUUAAAGAACCAGAAGACCAAAGGAAAGCUGUGUUUCUCCAUGUGAGGUCUACAGACGGCUGCAUCAGAGCCACCGUCCCACUUAGACCUCUAAUAUCCUGGUUUUAUUUCAUAUCCUCACUCUCAUUUUCUUUUUGUUCCAAUUUAUACUUGACUUUUACUGAUGCAUUUUAAGUAUUUAAUAAAGUCACUUUAAGUCUUUUGUUGAAUGCUGAUGGAGUAUGAAUAUAGAAAAUAAUUGUCUAGGAAAUUAAUGUAGUUGGAUGUUAGCUGUGUUCAUCUUGUCCCUUAAGAUCUAGAUGAACUUGGAGUUCCCUAGUGGCCUAGCAGUUAAACAUCUGAUGUUGUCACUGCUGUGGCUUGGGUUACUGCUGUGGCAUGAAUUUGAUCCCUGACCUGGGAAUUUCCAUAUGUGAUAGUUGUGACCAAAAAAAGAAAUCUAAAUCAUCUUGGUUCCUAUCCUCUUGACCCAUCCCAUGCGAAGCCUUCUUGAUUUCUUCUUAAGUACUUUGCCUAGAAAUCUGCUUAACCAGAUCAUUGAGUUGCUUAGGUGUAUUUUCAAUUUUUCCAUGUUACUGCAUGUGAGAGUUUUAUGAAAAGUUUCCACUACUGCAUAACAAGGGUCUCCUGUCCUCCAGCUUUGACUCAUGGUUUUCUCACUUUCUUGUAAGCCCCACUGAUAGUUCCUUGGGACCUUUAGCCUUUUGUCCACUGCUUGUUCCCAAGCCAGUGCCAUAUGAGUUAUGUUUUUAUUACAAAAGCAUCUCCCUGUAAAAUCUAUUCUGGUUGAACUCUUGUGAAACAAACUACCCCAAAAUGCAGUGAUUUAAAACAGGCAAAAAAUCAUUUCCCUUACUCUUUCAUCUGCAGGUUCAGCAGCGCUCAGUAGGCUGUCCUUUGCUCUAUGUGGCAUCACUGGCGUGGCUGGUCUGGGGCUGGAGGAUCAUCAUCCAAUAUGGCUCCAAAUCUACUUCCAAUAUGGUACAUGCCAUGCCUGGCUGGCUGGGGCUGGCCGGCAUCUCAAGGCCGGUGCUUGGAAAUCAGCACAGCAUCAAUACUGCUAUAUUCCAUUUAGUCAAGCAGUUACAGACCGCAGAUUCAAGGAAAGGGGGGAUAGAUCUCCCCCGUCUCUGUGGGAGGAACAUCAAAGAAUUUUGGGGCAUGUUUGAAGUGCCACACUACCUUGAAAAGACUGCCUUUUUUAAACUUUAUUUAUUAAUUUAGCUCCUGUCUCUGACCCCAGUGUCUUGGAGGUUUCUUUAUGUCCUCCACUUUAUAAUUCAGAACAUUGUACUUUAUAAAUCUGCAUUUACAAUUCAGAGUUCCCUUCAGUCUUGUAUCCAAAUGCUUAGGGUCUAACUUACCCAGUCAAGGUCACUAACAUGCCUGACUAACCUUGGGCCUGAGAUGCAGGGGGUUACUGUUUUUCUCUUUCCCUUCCCACAGCAAUCUCUGCAAGAAGAAGAGGCAGAUAUGGAGGGUUACUUCCUUCCAAUGUAAAUUAUAUCAUUGUACCAAGAAGCAACUUUGGUUGAUUUUGGUCAGUGGACUUUUCUGCCCUCUUUCUUUUGCAUAAAUACAGACCCUUGUCUUCCAUGGCCCCUUGGAGCUGGCCCCAUUCCUCCUCCCUGGGCUGCUCCAUCCCUGGUCCUCCAGGCAUAAGUGCUUCUCCUUAAUCUGCUGCCACCAUAAUCCCUUGCAAGUGGAGAAGCUUCUUGGAGAUUGAGAAAGGAGACCCAAAAUAUUUGUGGUUUCAUUUUCAAUGGUCUCAAAUAUGGGCACUUCUCUUUGUCCCUCUCUAGGUGGUGAGUCAGUUCACUUUCCGUUCUGAGUUCUGGAAGCCCCAUGGGAAUCCCCAGUCAUGGUCUAGUGGAGCUCAGAUGUUCUACCCAGGGGGGGUCCCACCUGCUAAGGGGUAACGAACCCAGCUAGUAUCCAUGAAGAUGUGGGUUCAAUCCCUGGCCUCGCUCAGUGGCUUAAGGAUCCAGCAUUGCUGUGAACUAUGGUGUAGUUUGCAGAUGCAGCUUGGAUCUGGUGUUGCUGUGGCUGUGGUGUAGGAUAGGAGCUGAGGCUCUGAUUCAAACCCUAGUCUAGGAACUUUCAUAUGCUGUGGGUACAGCCCUGAAAAGACAAAGAAAAGGAAAGGAAAGGAAAGAAAAGAAAAAUUAGUGGAGAUCCUGUUGUGGCUCAGUGGUUAAAGAAUCUGACUAGCAUCCAUGAGGAUGAAGGUUUGAUCCUUGGCCUUGCUCAGCGAGUUAAGGAUCCGGCAUUGCCGUGAGCUGUGGUGUAGGUCAUAGAUGUGGCUUGGAUCCUGCAUUGCUGUGGCUAUGGUGUAGGCCGGCAGCUACAACUCUGAUUCGACCCCUAGCCUAGGAACCUACACAUGCCUCAGGUGCAGCC
rnacentral:lncRNA from 1 species